CUCAUCUCUAUGGCCCCUGGAAGCUCCUCCCCCUCCCUCCCUGCAGCCCCAGGAGGCAGAGGGGGAGGGGGAGGAACCCCUGGGGCUGCAGGAGGGGCAGAGGGGCCCUGAGGGGCAGAGGUGGGGGGUGGGCAGGGACCCAGCAUGAAUCAAUCAGGGUUUUGGGAGAAGCUGGAAGCUCUGCAGCAGCUGGGAGUAUUUUGUGCAGAUCUGUGGGAUUAGAUCUCGCUGGGGCAGCAAGAGGGGAAGGCAGAAAAUCAGGGGAAAGAAGGGAGCAGCCAAGGGGGAUGAUCUGUGGGAGGGGGGAGGAGAGUGGGAAAGACACAGGAAAAUAAACAGGGAUCACAAGUGAGGGCUAGAAAAAUGCUGAGUAGAAAAGGAGAGUAUGAAAGAAAAGGGAGAAGGAAAGGGAACAUGAGAGGGACAGAGGGAUUUAUGAUGUGUUACUGAAAGUGAGACUGUAACUCAUUAAUUCCCUAUAUUAAUUCCUGGGCAUUGGUGCUAUUUUAGUGCCAUUAAGCAAACUGCUCUGAGUAGCUGUGGAUCUUCUUACAAUAUGCUGUGGUCAUUAAACUCUGUCUUAGCUCCUUUUACUUUCCUGCUUUCCACCUACUUAUUGUAAAAUAAAAACACUACAAACCA